GUGGGUAUAGCGCAGCUGGUUAGCGCGUCAGAUUGUGGCUCUGAAGGCCCAGGGUUCGAAUCCCUGUACCCACC
rnacentral:tRNA from 4 species